rnacentral:rRNA from 1 species
UACGUAGGGCGCAAGCGUUGUCCGGAAUUAUUGGGCGUAAAGAGCUCGUAGGCGGUUUGUCGCGUCUGGUGUGAAAACUCGAGGCUCAACCUCGAGCUUGCAUCGGGUACGGGCGGACUAGAGUGCGGUAGGGGAGACUGGAAUUCCUGGUGUAGCGGUGGAAUGCGCAGAUAUCAGGAGGAACACCGAUGGGCGAAGGCAGGUCUCUGGGCCGCAACUGACGCUGAGGAGCGAAAGCUAGGGGAGCAAACAGG